AUUCCUGUAACGCAAAAGAUAGCGCAUUGGUUUUCUAAUCCAACGGUCAUGGAUUCGAAUCCCAUCUGGGAUG